GACGAACGCUGGCGGCGUGCCUAAUACAUGCAAGUCGAACGCAGUGGCGGACGGGUGAGUAAUACGUGGGUAACUGCCCUCCUUUUUGGGAUAAGCCUUGGCAACGGGGUCUAAUACCGAAUAAAGGGGGAUGACUCGCGUCCUAUCAGCUUGUUGGUGGGGUAGUGGCCUACCAAGGCGACUACGGGUAGCCGGCCUGACAGGGCGGCCUGCCAAAAUGGGCUGAAAUACGGGCCGAACUCCUACGGGAGGCAGCAGUGGCGAAUAUUGCACAAUCGGGGAAACCCUGAUGCAGAACCGCCGCGUGCGGGAUGACGGGCUACGGGUUGUAAACCGCUUUCAGCCAUGACGCGGUAGUGGCAGAAGAAGCACCGGCUAACUACGUGCCAGCAGCCGCGGUAAUUC
rnacentral:rRNA from 1 species